GUUGACCUCGGAUCAGGUAGGAAUACCCGCUGAACUUACAACAGGGAUUGCCCUAGUAACGGCGAGUGAAGCGGCAACAGCUCAAAUUUGAAAUCUGGCUUUCGGGCCCGAGUUGUAAUUUGUAGAGGAUACUUUUGAUGCGGUGCCUUCCGAGUUCCCUGGAACGGGACGCCAUAGAGGGUGAGAGCCCCGUCUGGUUGGAUGCCAAAUCUCUGUAAAGUUCCUUCGACGAGUCGAGUAGUUUGGGAAUGCUGCUCUAAAUGGGAGGUAUAUGUCUUCUAAAGCUAAAUAUUGGCCAGAGACCGAUAGCGCACAAGUAGAGUGAUCGAAAGAUGAAAAGCACUUUGAAAAGAGAGUUAAAAAGUACGUGAAAUUGUUGAAAGGGAAGCGUUUAUGACCAGACUUGGACUUGGUUAAUCAUCUGGGGUUCUCCCCAGUGCACUUUUCCAGUUCAGGCCAGCAUCAGUUUUCGCCGGGGGAUAAAGGCAGCGGGAAUGUGGCUCUCUUCGGGGAGUGUUAUAGCCCGUUGUGUAAUACCCUGGUGGGGACUGAGGUUCGCGCUUCUGCAAGGAUGCUGGCGUAAUGGUCAUCAACGA
rnacentral:rRNA from 1 species